rfam:Myotis brandtii contig175276, whole genome shotgun sequence.
GGCGGUUCUCAGGUGACACACCCUGGAAUCAGGCUCCCUUCUCUCUGGUUCUGGGUACGUCACCCCAAGAACCACU